AUGGUAAUAGCGCAGUCAGGUAGCGUACCUCAUUUGGGAUGAGGGGGUCGCAGGUUCGAAUCCUGCUUACCAUA
rnacentral:tRNA from 1 species